rnacentral:lncRNA from 1 species
UUAUCUUAUUUAAGGACUGAUAAGUGGGGCUGUACUGAAUGGAACUGAAUCACGGUUCUAAAUAAGGACUGACACAAUACUAGUCACACCCUCCAGAUCUCCAGAGCACAUUUAAAAAUAUAACUUAAGAAAAAUAAUUUAUAGGAAGAAAGAAGCAUCGUUAUGGUGGACGGCCACAACUCUGUCAAUACAUCCCCCCGUAAUUACGGCCCUGUGUAUUACAAAAAAAAAAAAAAAAAAUACCCCUUAAAAAGUAAUUUUUUUCAAUAUUUGAAAGAAAAGUUGACAAAAAUAAAUUAUUUUUUCACGUAUUUGUCAUCUUAUUAUAUAAUUUGGUGCCUAUAACAGUUUUGAAUAAUUGAGAAAAGGACCCUCCUCCCUUUAUGUUUUUAGAGAAUUAAAAUAAUUUUUUAAACGUCAAAUAUGAACUUAUUUUAUAUUUGAUAUUUAUCUAUGGAACCGACUUAAGAACAUAAUAUUACCUUUGUCUAUUAAAAUUUGUUUUAAUUGUCACAAUGAAUAGAAUUGUAGGCGUGCAGAGAAUCUCUGCAUUAAAAAUAUUUCUCCAUACUUAUCAUGAAAUACACAUUAGUAUGUAUUAAGUUAAAACUUAUUACGAUUGCAUUCCAAAAUAAAAAACCUACAAAUUUGUUUGACUAAAUGAA